UUUUACCUUUCCUGUGAUGAAAGAAUCCUGAUAUAGUAUAAAUAAAGGCCCCAGUUUGAUAGGUUUCACUUUGUUGGGAGCUGCGCAAAAGUCAGGGACUUCCAUCUCAGAAAAUGCGAAUAUACCUCAAUUAUUUCUUCCUCGUUAUCUGCCUACUUGCGGGUGCUAGUUUCGGACGUAGAGUAAAAGGAGUAUAUUAUCAACAAUUUCCCGGUAAAGCAUAUCCACCGCAGGGACAUUACUGGAAAUAUGGUGGUGGGUAUGGCGGCGGGUGUGGCGGCGGAUAUGGCCGGAGAUGUCGUCGUCGAAAUCGAGGCGGAUGGUUCCGCUUUGGAGGAUAGAACGGCAAAGUGUACAAGUAUAUCAAAUGAGGAAGGACACGAGCAUUGAGAUGAAUACGAGACUCCUACUUCAUGUUUUGAUUAUUCUCAAUAAAUGAUUUUAUUUGCA